CUUAAUAUAGACUUGAAAUAUCUCCUAAUUGAAAUUGAUUCAAAUGUGUUUCUCUGCUUUUGCGUGGUCUCAGGGGAACGUAUUUUUGCAUUUAGGAUCGGUGGGGUUUAUUUUUAUCUGCUACACAGUGUAAGCCGUCGAUGUAACUUCAGUGUGUGCUGGAUUAGCUUCUACUGUUACCAUUCCUUUUGCUUUCCAGUUGCUGGAAUGAUUGCAGCUGAUUUUGCCCCAGGCACCAUUCACCAGGGAGCUGGUACCUGGGGUUCCGUUGAUAUCCCUGUCAGUGCCAAGACUACACUCCUGUGAAAGCGUUUAUCCUGACAGCUGCUGUUUGCAUGUAGUAACAAUUGCAAUAAACGGGUGGAUUUACAGCAAAACAUGAACACAAUGCGUGUGCAUGAACCAUACAGGUACCUCCUCUGAUUUGCAAACGUCUUUUUUAACAUGAUGCCAGAAUUGUAGCUAUUUAUUCCUACAGCUUCUCCUAAAUAUUUACACCGCAUUGCAGGACAGAAACUCUUCAGUACACAAGGAAUCCCUUUUCACAGACUUUUUCAAUUUCUGACCUAUUGGCUGAAUGUUUGAGCUGGAAGAUGACAAGAAAUAGCUAAAUGCGUUUGGCCAAAAUUUUUGAACUCUGUACCAGUGAUUUAAUAUGGUUUGGUACCCAAUUAAUACAUUCAAUUCUGAGCUUCUGAAGCCUUCUGCAGAGGUGGCUAUCAGGAGCUUUGGGGUCAUAGAACUGAUACAGAGCAAAGGGCAGAGACUUCUCUAGAUUUCCUGAAUGAAGAUAUUGGGAGGAACGGGCUGGAAAAUAAUUAACGUCCUGGAGUUCAGCCUGAGAAAAGAAUUGCUGGGAAGAGUGCUGGAUGCAGAGGCAUAGAAAUAAAAUCUCAUCUACAUGAGUAAUUAACGCUGACUAGGCUUUUAAGGCUUGAAAUCUUUCUUCUGUGAGAAGCAGUAAAUCAAAAUAAUUCUGACCACCCUUUACGCUUGCAGGCUGAACCAGUGUUAUUUUUUUCCUUUGGCAUCUAUACAUAGUUGCUGUUACUUUAGUUAAUGAUACAAAUCUAGCGAUUAAGAAGCCGUUUCUGGAUUUCUAGUGAUUUCACAUCUGUUUUCACAGUUUUAUGAGGCUCCUGGAAAUGCUGAGCAGUGACACUUUUCUGGGUGGCUUCUCUUUUUUGGCGUAUACCGGUCGUCAUCUCUUGGAUGCUGGGAGAUUUUAUACCUGAAAACAUUGAUGGUAUUGCUCUAUGUGACGGUUCUCAAUUACCUUGCUUCUAAACUAUGGUUAACAGCUGCAAAAGCCAAACAAUAUUUAAAGAUGCAUUUAUUAUUGACAUAUAGUUUUCUUGGAGUUUUCCAGCACACUGCCCAGUGAUCACCAGCCACCCAUUCCUGUUUCUUGAAGAAGCUUCUUUUUGUGAAGGACGUUCCACGGUUCUAACACAGCCUCAGCAACAUAAUUGCCUUUUGGCUUGUACCAGGCCACUUAGCAUCAUAUUGAUCCAACAACUAUGAGGCUUUACUUCAUUGAGGCCAACAGAGAUGACUUUUCAGCAGCCAUUAUUCCUCUAUUCAUGCUACGUAAAUUGCAUCUCAAUCACCAGACUCAGCCCUGAGAGAAGUGCUGCGGCUUAUUCUUGCCUUCUCCAAACCUGGUUCCAGCCCUGGCCUGUGUCUGUGACCUAUCAGUUCUUGUUUACUUCCUCUCAUCUCUCUAUCAAGUAGACAUUUGGGUGUCCCUGCUGCUGCUGGACCUGAGCACCGUCCCUUCCUGAUCGACACCAACCGGAGAGUCCCCAGCACUGCUCACCUGGGCUGAAGAAACAGGCUCUUCCUCACUCUCCAAAUCCUCAGAAAUUCAAACAGCAAAAAUGGAAGCUCAGUUAUUUUCUAUGGGAAUUCCUGCUCAUGUAUAACUGGGAAGAGGGGAGAAAAUAACAUAGCAAGGAAAGCCUUCAGAAAGAGAGAAAGUAGGUGAUAAAAAUAGGGCAUUUCCCUGACUGAAUUUCCAGGCUGUACAGCAAGAGGUUUCACUCCUCCUUUUUUGACCUUAAGGAAAGUAAAAGGGGAGGGAGGGAUGUUUGUACAUCAACACAAUAUUGGACGUUCCUUAAUGGAAUGAAGUAAUGCUCAAAAGAAUUGGAAUUUAUUUUGCUGCUAGUGAUUACGCUGGAACUGGAAGCAGCAUGUUUGAAAGCAUUCUGUAAUUCUGAGGUAUAUCUUGAGAUAGUCCCCAUCAUGGAUCCUGUGAACCUGGGAACUAGUUAGAAAUCUGGCACUGUAAUUCUCGAGCAAUACACCCCUCCUCUUGCUGCUAUCAACUUGAUCUAAACUGGCCGUACAGUGUAAUAGUAGUUCUGAGAUUAAUAUAGUUAUUAAAAAAAAUCCAUAACCAGUUGUAUUGGUAAAUUAAAAAUAUGGAUUUUUUUUCAUGAGAUGAAAAGUGUGCAAAUAUGCUGUGAAAAUGCAUGUGCAUGCAGGAGAGAUGUGUGUGACCCUACAACAUAAACUGUGAAUGUAUUAUAAAAUUGUGUAAUGUCCCAUGAUUUCAGCUAUAACUGAGCCCCAUCUGGUGGUGAUGGAAAGAAACAACUGAAACUGCAGGGAAAACAUUCACCUAAACCUCUGAAUCUCUUUUCAAAAGAUCAAAGAUUUAACUAUAUAAACGCUAUAUAUACAUAUAGGUGUAAGAUAACCUCUAAACUUCUAAAAACUGCUCAGCUCUACAGUUCAAACUAGUAGCUGUAUCUUCAUAAAGAAUGAAAGGGUGUUUUUGGAAGGUUUUCAGAUAGCUUUUUUUUUUUUGUAGGGAUUGACUUUUAAUAUAAAUGCUUGUGGUGUGGUCGCUUUUUCACGUUUCUGAUUCAAAUAGAUGUCAGCGAUUACUUCAUCUUAGAAAAAUAACACUGAAUUGGCUUUUGUUUGUGGGAAAAUAUAAUGCUCAGCAGCUCCUGUGGUUUUGCUGUGCCCCACAGUAGUAGUGCAGCACCUACCCCGUUUCCCCAAAAAUAAGACAGGGUCUUAUACAAUUUUUGCUCCAAAAGAUACUUACUUUUUACAUGUAUAGCUGCCUGGACAUUAUUUAAAUUGACUUUUUAAUGAACUGUAACUAGGGCUUAUUUUUGCAGUAGGGCUUAUGUUUUGAACAUCCUCAAAAAUCCUGAAAAAUCGCAAUAGGGCUUAUUUUCAGGGUAGGGCUUAUUUUAUGGGAAACAGUGUACUGUAGGCCAGAAGAAUGACUGGAAGGGCAACACUGACAGGCUGUGCCUGGGAAGUUCAAGUUGGGCACCUCUGUCAUGUUCCAUCCCUGGAGCUGGUCCAGGGUGACCUGCAUGGAGCCUCUCCAGCGGCAUGGAGAGCUGGGCUGGGGUUGAGCAUCCCGAGUGAUCUGUUUCAGUUCUUUAUUAUUCCACAGGAAGGAGUUUAAUUCUCAUUCAUUUCUCAAAAUAGGCAUGUUUUUAUACCCUUCUUGAAGUUUAGGUGUUUAUAGCUCUAUACCUCUGUACAGCCUUGGAUGGCCCAUAUUGGCUCUAGUUUUAUGUAAUACAAAAAUGAUGCAUGAUGUGGUUUUAUAAAUGCAAUGGGUAAGUUUAUUACACUUGUGAAUCGGUAAGCAUGAGCCAGUGUGUGCCCAGGUGGCCAAAAAAGCCACCGGCAUCCUGGCGUGCAUCAAGAGUAGUGUGGCCAGGACAACUAGGGAAGUGAUUGUCCCCUUGUCCUGGGCACUGGGGAGGCCUCACCUUGAAUCCUGGGAGCAGUUUUGGGCCCCUCACGCCAAGAAAGGCCUUGAGAUGCUGGAGCGAGUGGAAAGAAGGGAACGGAGCUGGUGAGGGGCUGAAGCACAAGUGUGAUGGAGCGGCUGAGGGACCUGGGGGGUUCAGCUGGAGAACAGGAGCUGAGGGGAGACCUUCUGAUCUCUGAACUGCCUGAAAGGAGCUUGGAGCCAGGGGGGUCGGGCUCUGCUCCCCAGGAACAAGCACCAGGAGCAGAGGAAACGGCCUCAAGUUGCGCCAGGGGAGGUUGAGGUUGGAUGUGGGGAACAAUUUCUUCCCCAAAGGGCUGUGGGGCAUUGGAACAGGCUGCCCAGGGCAGUGCUGGAGUCACCAUCCCUGGAGGGCUGGACAGACAGACAUGAGGUUCUCAGGACAUGGGGCAGUGCCAGGGGUGGGUUAUGGUUGGACUCGAUGGUCUUGGGGGUCUCUUCCAACCAAGAUGAUUCUGUGUUUCUAUGAACGCUCAAGUGGUUGGUGAGUCGUUGGUUCUGUUGUGAGCCGAGUUGGAGUGCCCGCGCUGUUGGUGUGUUUGUCACAGAGAUGGAACACAGGUACUAUUGGGGUCUCGCGGGUACCAGCAUGAACCCUGGCUGCUGGCUUUCCCUUUCUGAACACAGACUGCUGCAUGCCGCUCAUCUGGCCUCUCUUUUUCCGCAGGUAUUAGUCCACGCUGCACUGAUGUUUUUACUUCUUUGGCCAUGGCAUCGUUACCUCUGUGGUUGAACAUUUCAAGUUUUGUUUUAUUCCUUUGCAUUUACCCCUGACAAUUUAGGGAGAAUUCCUGGGAAAGAGGUAGGGCUGAACUCCUUUUGCCUGGAGGAAAUGUCUGUUGUAACUUGCAAGUUCUGUGGGGGUAGUUUGGGAAGCUUGCACAGCACAUAGUGUUACUCAGUAAUGUGCCAACUGCUCUUCUGUAGGUCUUCUCUUACAGUUCUGUUAGUUCGAGCUAAAUCACUUUCUUUUUGUUCUACUUUUUGUUAGUGAACUGCAUGGCUCUCAGUUUUACCUGUUAAUUAUAACACCAAUUUGAGGACUGCUUUCAGUGCGUGCUGUUCUUCUGAACAACUCAGAACGGGUUUUCCGUUUGAGAACAUCUUAGAAGACUGAGAAAUUGAGUUAUGGCUGGGUUAACCACGCAUUUCACAUCCCCACUUGAACUAAUAUUUAGACCAUUUUGUGCUAUCUGGUACUGUGAAUUUGCUGCGAAUCUCCGUAGAGAAGCUAUUUCACGAAGCUCUGUGUAUGGGGAUUUUAUGAGAUCCUUCUUUUCCCUUCAGCACCAUCUUCCUGCGCUGUACAAAUUGGGUAAACUUAACCCUUUUCCCACUUUGCUGGAGGGCUGGGGAGGCUGUGAAUUCCAGGCUGUCUAGGCUGAGUGAAAUCACUUCACACAACAGUACUUGGCAUUUCUCACAGAGACUAAUUUCUGUGCUAGGGUUUACCCUUCUCUUUUGACCUGUUUCACCUGUGACAUCUUAAAAAACAUGCUUACAUUGCAAUGAAAGUGGAAGUUUUUAAGUGUAAUUUAUGUAAUGGUACCUGCAACUAUUAUACAAUGUGUAGUCCAAGUUUUUCAUUAGGAUUUUAGGUCUCCAAACCGAAAAUAACACCGGUGUCUCUCUAAGGGUCAAAGUUAUCCAUUUCUGGUUUAGACUUAAGUAAAUGGAUCAGUGGUGUAUUAACUUUGAGUUUGGUUUUGAAUUGAUACUGGUAGCUGUCGAAAUCAGAGCUGCGAUGCGUUGUUUAAUAAUGCAACCUCAUUCUUUUCUACCUGUUGCUUUUAAAAAGCCCUCUGGGUUUCAGUUGGAUCUGCUCAUCCCUUCGCACAACCUAGAGAUGAACCUGAAGUCCAGGAGUGCUUUACGUCCGCACCAGUUGGGUUUGACACAGGCGCUAUAACACUUGGGGUCACAGAUUUUGAGAUCCGCUCAUCAUUCGACCCAGGAAACACCACAGAAUGUGUCAGCUGGUGUGUUGUGAGGCCUGUUUUCAUAUCACCAGGUAAAAUAAGAGCUGUCAAGCAUCAGGUGGUUGUAACCCCUGGUCAGGAGGAAAUUGGAAAGGAGAAGAGGACAGAGGAAGCCCAGGUUGCCUUGCAGUGGCAGCUGCGAUGGAUUUCAAGCAGCACCAGUAAUGUUAUGGGUGGGCAGCAAUAGGGUGGGUGCAAUCUAGUCUAAGAGCAGAAAUAGUGUAUUAAAUGAUGGAUUAGCAGGAAAAGAGCUAGACUGAGGGGAACAGAAGGUGUGAUUUGGGAAAUCUUAUUAAAAAUAUUGAAACUCAAACCACCAUUCCAUCUUUCAGGCUGGGUAAAUUACCCUUUAAUAGAACAGCAUUUUUGAGACCAACAGAAGAUAUUAUAGAAGCAUUAACAGCCCCCAGACCUCACUGAUGGUUUAUAGUGGACACAGAAGUUUGAAUAAAGCACCUUCGUGCAGAACUAAGUCUUUGGCUUAGGGAAUCUUGACUCUGAGCAGAAUGAGUUUAUAAAGAAUUUGCAGUUUGCUUCAGCACUCACUGUAUGCAGAGGGGUGGCCAAGUCCAAGCGUUUGGAUCUCCUUAGGAGCUGGAGCACAAUGAUAUUUGGAGCACACAACCAUGAAACAUAAUUGCUGAUCCUGAUUGCUUUUAAGAGGCUGUGAUUCCUACAGUUGUAUUUGUUAGCUGUUCUCUCCUGUGUUACUGUAUUGGGAUGGAUACGCACAGUGAAUUCAACGUUAUGAAUGUGCCCAGGGAAAAAGAAAGCCUUAUAAGUUGAUUUUUAAUGUUAAUUGAUAUAAAGCAUGCUUUGGGGCAAUGUAAGUAAGAAAUAGAAGCUGGUUGUGUGGCGUUUGUAUACUGAAGAGUUUGUAUUGUUUGCUUUAGGUAACGCGGUACAUCAGUGGGCAGAGGAGUGAGUCACUAGGUCUUGAUUUGAGUGGACCUGAUUUCUGCCCGAGCUAUUUAGGGGGUUUUCUGCCAGCUUUUCGGAAUGGUUCCCUGCUGCCUGCAAGAACGUGCUCAUCAAAACCAGAUUCUGUGCGAAAAUGCGAAUUUUGUUAAAGUGGAAGAUUUCCACAAAACCAUACCUUCUUAAUUGUGUUUUUUUUGGGGGGGGAGGUGGGAGUGAAUAUGUAUAAGCAAGCUGAAUUUUUUCUUCUGAUUUUGAUUUCAUUACAAUUUCGAGAACGAUCGUUUUAAAAUGCAUAUUAGAAAGUAAUGCAUAUAUUAUUUUAUAGUACGCAUUGUAUCUUUGUCAUCUCUUUCGAUCAAGUGCUGAAACUACUCAUUGCAUACAGGAAGCCCUCUGAGCUGGAAGUUCACAAGUGACAGCACUUUCCUUUAAGGAUAAAACAGAGACUGGUGAAAUAAAGUUAAGCCUGAUGGAUACUUAAUGAGCAUCAGGUCUCAUUCUCAAGCCUGAAAUCCCUCUCCCUCCCCCACAAAAAAUAUGGGGGAGUAGGUUUUGUGUCUUGAAAGAGCCAAGAUUUCAACUGUAAGAAAUGGGCAUCAUGGUGAGUUACGGCAUGAAUAAAGUAGCUGGGAAAGCUGGAAGGGAUGCUUUUGUCUGUAACUGCUGGUGUCCGAUGAGAAAGCAAGGUGUCUUUGUUUUGGAAACAGCCUGUCAUGUAGAAACCAAGAGGAAUUUUACCUCUUCUUUAAGGCUGAUAAAACACAACACAAGUUGGCAGCACUUCUUUAAUUCUAUUCACCCUGCACGGCAACGAUCCUAGAGAUGGAUCACUGCCAAAUGCCAUGAAAUAUCAAACAGAGGUAAAACUCCGUGGUUAUUCCUUUUUUCUCAGUCAUCUUGCUGCUUCUAAAACGCAAGCGUAUUCUGAACUGUGGUUAACAGUUGUCAAGAGCACCCAUUUAGGUCUACAAGGCUGGACCUCUUUGGUCUUUAACGUGUUUUUGAAAAUAUCGCCCCCUCUGCAUGGCCGGAAUGAGCCCGAGCUGGUGCCAGCUCAGAGGCCAGGAUGUGCCAUGAGGAAGGUGACAAAACCAGAACACACGGUGCGAUGAUUUCAGACUUCUUCUAACGUGACCCUUGGGAGGACUGGGCACAGCUUUUUCAGGUGCUCAAUUCUGAGGAGCCAAGAGGCUUUGUACUUUAGAGGUUCAAGGUCCGAGCAUUAAUUUGAACACAGAUCUUGUGUGGUUUCAAGAAGAUGAUUUUUAAUUGCAUUUCAGCAGUGAUAAAAAGGCAGCAAAUUCAAUGAAUCAUGUAUGGGGAACAAAGUCUUAAUAAAGUGAAGUACUGAAUCUAAUUCUGAACAAAUUUCUAAGCUUACCGGGAGCUGUUGUUUCAGCCACCACAUGGCAUGGGUGUCUGGGUUGGUUUGGUUCCCCUCAGAGGUCCCUCUUACAGUUUGAUAUUGCUCAUUGUAUCUCUGACCAGUCUGUUCCGAGGCAGAAGUGAGUGCAAAAGCAGAUGAGUUGCUCUAACACCAAGCAGCCGGUCUGUAAUCUGUAUUCAUGGGGUAAACGGAAAACAGCCUUGCAAUAAGUAUUUUUAAUUUCCACUAGAUAUAUCUCAGCCUGAACUAACACUGUCCUUUUUCAGUAGUUAUUAUCGUUUGAAAGCUUGUUGAAAAUUAAGUUUAAUUUGCGAGAAUGUUGUUUUCCAAAUAUGUCUUUUAUCAGCUUCUCAUCCUGAGUAAAGAAAUUAUUUCAGAGCCCUAUACUAGUGGACUGAGAGGUGAUCUUUCUUGAAAGAACAAAGUAAGCAAACACAGUUGCUUUCAAGGCUUAUAAGAGAUGGGAAUCCAUUUAACAUGCUGUUGUCAUAACUUCAGAUAAUUAAAAGCUGCUCUAAUGACAGUAAAUGCUAGCUGGGAGAAUUUAAGCUCUGUAGUGCUGUGCUGGGCUUUGAGGAGAGAGCGGCGUUGAUGUUGAGUUUGGAUUCUCUCAUGUGAAGAGGAACGUCUACCUGAGCUCCUGACACCUUCUUGGUAAUAUUGCCCCAAGACAGGGCCAGAUACCCACACAGAAGAAGACGCAACAGAAUGUCUUACAAAUGGUUUGUAAUGUUUUGGCUGGCUUUUUCUAACGUAGUCGUCACUAAAUGGUUUCGUGUUGCCUCAUUGGAGAUGUUUCUGGAGUUGUGUGCUGUAGGCACACACAUCCUUCUUUAAUAAACAUCAUUUCAAGUUGAUGGCUGCCUACGGCAUGCUCAGCAGUGUUUGGAGAAUAAGGUAACCUAUUAAUAUGCCUGGUUUGAAUUAUUGGUGCCUGAAAAUGCUGGAUUAUUGUUUUAUAUUGUUUUAAUGAGUAGCCAGAUCACUGAAAAAUCCCCAACAGCCCACACGGUUUACUAGCUGAAAAACAGCAACAAAAAAAGGGAAACAUUUUGUCAGCGGGUUAUUUAGCAUCAUCUUAAAAAAAGAAAAUAAUUCCAUGAUUUAUUUCUAAUAAACGACCUUUCUUGGUGGGCAAAAAUGCCACACUGAGGCCUUUCCGAUUUCAGUCCCUAGCGACAGCGCUAUUAAGGGAAACAAUUUUCAGCCAUCUGGAAAGCGUCUCACUGCAUCCCACCUGUGCCCCGGGAGCACGGGGACCCACGCAGAGCCAGACACGAGGGAGCAGGACACGGCCCUGCCCAGGCCACGGCAUCACCCGAGGCUCAGGAGCUGGGGGUGUGGAGGUCGUGGUUGGUCUGGGCUUUUUGGUUUAAUCUUUACAAGAGCACACGCGCUUACUUCUUUCUCUCCCACCAGAUGUUCUCUAGAGAUCCAUUCUAACCUAAAUUAUGCAGUGAUUCGAAGAAGAUUUUAAAAGCUGCCACCGAAAACGUGGGUGUGUGUCUGCUGUGGGAGGUGGCGUAACAAGAAGACAUAAAUUAGUCUUAUCGCUUGACAGAAAAGCUGGCACCCUCUGCACCAAUCCUCAGCUAGUUUUUACUGUCAAGAUACUACUGCAUCAUGUGUUUGAAGUUCCUUCACUGCUGACUUAAACAUUGCUAUGGCAUGCUAAAGAAAUAAGACAUUCCUGCUCCACUAGUGUAGAAUUUUCUCCCCAAAUUCAAGUUACCAGCUGUAAAAUUAAUUGUGUGGUGUGCGUCAUGUGGUUCAACAUCUUUCUUGAAGACUUCUCUGGAUUUAUAACACCAAGCAGUAGGAAUGUUUACUAAUACUUCUGAUAGUUGUAAUCAUUUCUCAUUAUCAUUUAUCAUCAUUUUGCGAUGCAGUAGCUGAAAGGAAGCCACCCCGUAUUGCUGGUGCCAUUAAAAGAUCAUUUGCCGGCAGCAGCUCACGGCGCUGUGUGGGUUGGUGCCCGGGCUGACUCCAGAUACAGCAGCUGAUGGGACAUUGGCCGCUCGCCGCUGGGAACCGGUUGGAGAGAUGUGCCCUGCACGGUGGAAGGUAGACAUAGAUAGCCUCUGACUACGGAUUGCCACUUAGAAAUGUGUCCUAAAUAAAAAUCCAAUCUGGAUGCACAGAGGAUACCGCUCCAAGGAGAGGCUGGGUGGUGAUGGAUGUCAGAGGACGGUGACAUAGUUCUGCAUCAGUUUGCAUCACUUGAUGGGCUCUGGAUCCCUGCUGCUAGUGAGCAGGAUUGCGAAAUGAUAAAACAAAGACCUCUAAUAAUGGGUCAAUGUUUUUCAGCUUAAAACGCUUGCCAGUUUUCUUGCUAUCUUUUUUUCCAGAGCAGCUACUUAGGACAGACACAUAUUCAGUGAUUGGUAUUUGAAAAACAAAACUGUCCUUUGUUAAGAGCUGCUACUGAGUUAUGUGGUGUUUUAUGUGUAUUGAAAAUCUCUGGGAUAUGCUAAGUAUAAAAGUAGUUGUCACUGCUACCAUGUUGUGAUAGGUACCAAAACCAGAGAUUUUCUUCCACUGCUUUAAAAUAUAUAAAGGAAAAGUUAUGUUACUUACUACCAUUAAAGGUAAAAAAGAAGUUAUAGAAAAGAAGGGAUUCAGAAUGAAAAUUAAUGUUACCAGCCAAACUCUCAUGUAUUGUUUGAUGUAGUCUUUCCAAUAUGGACUAUGUAAUUUUUUGAGGCUGCAAUAUUUCCUAAUAUUUUAUUAGAAAUCAUUAUUUUAGAGCUAUAAAACAUGUAUGCUCUUUUUCCUAAGAGGCUCAAAUGACUACAGGUCUUUCAAGUUAAAUACUGUAUAUCAUUAGAUAAUUUUAAAAAUGCAUCUUAUUUACCCAGAAGUUAUUCCAGUCUCUUGACAACACACAAAUAAGGCAGAUAGUUUUUUCAGUGUGUAUUUAUGAGGCUGCCUAGCCUUUCAGUCAGUCUGUGGGAUGGUGUCUUGUACAAAUAUAUACUUUAGUACAUUUAAACUGUAACUUGCAGCAUGCAAAUACCAACUGGGAAGCCCUCACUAGAGCUGAUACUGCUGUGGAUGUUCAAUUAUAAAUGUACAAACCAGUUUUUAAACUCUCAAAUAUAUCUGUCUUAACAGCAGCUCAAAGAUUUUUAAUAGUAACGGUAUUUACUUGGGGAAUACAGUAGCACAAACCCCACCUUUUAAAAUGAAUAGAUCUUGUACCGGGACUCUGUUCGGACUCCCUGUUUGAAGUGGGGAGUGAUUAUAGAAUCAUUUUGGUUGGAAAAGCCCCUCAAGAUCAUGGAGUCCAACCAUAACCCACCCCUGGCACUGCCCCAUGUCCUGAGAACCUCAUGUCCGUCUGUCCAGCCCUCCAGGGCUGAUGACUCCAGCACUGCCCUGGGCAGCCUGUUCCAAUGCCCCACAGCCCUUUGGGGAAGAAAUCGUUCCCCACAUCCAACCUCAACCUCCCCUGGCGCAACUUGAGGCCAUUAUGUUUAACAAGGUGACAAGUCUUUCCCAGGUUUCCACUUCAGAAUAAUCUGCCUGUGGAGUUUUUCCACGUGUCAGUGCCAUACGGACAGGUCUGUUUUUUCAGAGAUGCCAAGCACCAUAUAUGAAGUGUCCAACCGUAAUUAAAUUGCAUGUCAUUAAUAACAGCUUAGGUGUUUUUAAACAAAAAUCUUUGCUAAUAGGCGUAGUAGCUUUUGGGCUGAGGCAUUCAAGAUUCAAGUUCCCAGCAAGGUUACAAACAUAAAGCACAACAUCAGGAGAUGGCGAAGCAGAAGAUGUAGAGGAGCUCAAAAAGCCAGCUUGGUACAACACCAAAGUGUUUCCUCACCUCUUUCCACUGUUGAUUUAAGGAGGAGCGUGGCUGACCAGGUUACAGACGAGUGAUCUGGUUGGACAUAAAAUGAUGUGGUUGACUGCAACCUCUUUCCCGCCUGGCACUAAGCUGAUACAUUAGCUUGGUAGAUGAGCACCUAAUGCAGGAAGGAUGAUGUUUUCUGAAUAAAACAGUGAAACUCUUGUUAAAUAAAAUGAAUUAACAUUGCUAAUGCCUGCAGCAUACACGUUAUAUCCCUUUGCUUGAACUUCUUCCCUGUGAUCAGAGCAGGGGCAACGUAAACAGAUUGAAUAGACAAGGUGUUGUGAAGUGUUGGGGCUUUUGUUUCGUUCUGUGUUGAGUGUUAUGUCAGGACUCCAGUAAAGCUGAAAUGGGCUUCCUAGAAAAUGGAAGAGGUUGAUUUCUUCUGUCCAGAAGAGAGGAGCUGAUUUGUUGGGAAUCCACCCCUUAAUGUACAGUGAAUUCUUUGUGGGCCACUGCAGUAAGAGGCAUUUUCAUUUACUCUCUUGUUUGAACCCUUCGCACCGUACUUGAGACUGCUGCUAUGGUUAUUUUUGCUCUGCUUUGCUGAUGUUCUCUAGGUUGCUUUCUCGUCCACCACCAGCCAUGGCAGUCAGCCCACUUCGAGUUAUUGUCGCAGUCUCUGCAGUCCUUCCUCCACCAUCACAAUUUCAGCUGGUUUGGAGGAUAAGAAAAUAGCCAGAGAUUUGAUUGUAAACUGGCAGAAAAGAUGAAAGUGCUGGGAUAGUCUUUUCCCAGGACAAAGAAAGAUCUUCCCUGAAAAAUGGAGGAGUCGUGUUUUUUACUGUGUGUUUUUAUCCUAGGAGUAGUUAAGCCACAUGAGGGCUCAUUCUUUUUAACUGGUACAAUGCUCUGAAUUUUUGUUCUCCACUGAACCAAGUGCAUAAAUGGAAGUCAAAUCACUGUGUGUGCUAGCUAAUAUGUGGUUUGAGCUUUAUUCACCCUUUGCAGAAUGUGCAAAACCAGCCCUUGUAACCGUCAGAAGGAGAAAAAAUCCCAGUGUAGCGAAGUGCGGCCGUGGAGAAACGCAACGCUAUUUCUUUGCUUGCAAAAGUGGUGCCGGGUUAAUGAAUGCCGUCACUCUGAAAUCGCUCCAGAGUGACAACCCCGCGCUUGCAGACGGUCACAGCCCGCGCCACGUAUGGAUCCCCGGCUGUGCGGUGUACGGCUGGGUGUGUGGCUGGUUCCAACGCCGUGGAUGCAUCGAGCACAGCGGGUGUGUGGGCACCGUCCCGGCGUCGCUGGGAGGAGAGCGAUUCCUGCUCCCCGCGGCGGGUUCAUCUGGCUCAGCGGAGGCCGGAGUGAAGAACCGUUCCCUGGCACCCGCUCCUGCUUCCUUCGCUCCAGGCCAUUGCUCCUUGUCCUGCCAUCUUCUGAGACCGGAGAAUUCCCUUCCUUCAUUUAUAUUAUUACCUUGAAGGUAUUUAUAGACUGUGAUUGGGGCCCCCUGAGUCUUCUCUCUUUGAGACUAUGUAAGUUUAGCUCCCGCAGUCCCUGCUCACACAUCUUACCCUCUAAUUCCUCUCUUGCCUCUUUGUAUUUCCUCUAAUAUUUUAAACACUUUUCCUAAACUCCAAGCACCUGAGCCAGCUGUAGUGUAUCACGAAGCAGGGCAAUGCUAUUAAUGCCUGCUUAAUAUUCACUUUCCCUUGAAUUCAUCCCAGACCAAUCCUGGCUUGUGCCCUUGCACACACUAUUGUAUGCUCCCAUUUUGUCGCCUGCUAUCAAAUAUUAAAUCCUCUGCCUCUGUGUAUCUUAUACCACAAUGCUAGUGCUGUUUGGUUCUACUUUUAUAGUUAAAAUUCAAGCUUUAUGCUUUAAGUAUGUUUUUUCUUGCUGGUCUCCAUUUGCUUUUUAUACAAUUUAUAUAUAUAUAUAAAUAUAUAUAUUUUUUUUUUUUUUAUUUGACCUUAGUUGUCAGUAUUUUAGGCCAUCUUGCGCCUGCCCAAAUGUGGACAGUAUAUAGGGUCCACUAUGUCCACAGAUACUGAAAUAUGACUAUGUGGUGAGAAAUACAUGUUACUUCUCAAAAGCAAAACCGACUUUUAUUACAAAUACCUGCAUAUGGGGUCUAAGAAAUGCAAACACAUCCAUGUCACUAAGAAUUCACCUGCCCAACCACUGCUUUGCUCACACGUUUGAAAAGUUGAGGAGCCGGUAUUACUCCUACAAGCUAUGCACAAAAGGCUGGAGAUAGAGGAAUGAAUCAUCAAUUCCUUUAAUCUGAAAGGUCCUUUAUGGCAAAAGCUGAGUAUUUGAUGUGAAGACAAUAUUUGCCAUGAUACUAGUAGGUCUUAGAAUCGUUCUUCCAGCAGGAUAUUAAAAAUAUAUCAUUCUGGUAUUGAAGACACUCCACAGUGUGGAUCAGAUGCUGUAGGAGAGUUGAUGUUGUAAGAGGAACAAUGGUGAGCGCUGGGCUGGGAGAUCUUGUACUGAUGUUUGGCAGGUUUCCUAGAGGGACCUGCUGCAUUUCCUAUUGCUUUUGCACCGAAUACAUCCAGAGCAGAAUGGUGUCUCUUGUCGUAUUUAUAGAGAAGUAACAGGCCUUAAUUCAGGGCUGAAAUUAGAUGAAAACCGAGAAGGAAAAAGUGGUUCAAAGCGGAGCCUGUUGGUAACUCUGCAUGUCCCGCGAAAGGCUGUCACUCCGUCUGUCCCCAGUGAGCGGGGAGGCAGGACCGGGGCAUCCAGGUCUCCUCCUCCCUCAGCGUGCAAGAGUGCAGAAAUUCGGUAAUCAUCAAAUCAGUGUUUUGAUGACAAGAUGCUUAAUUUUUGUCAUUUGAACUCCUUAGAUGCCCUUGCGUGCAAAGGAACAUCAUCCAGCGUGGCUGAGGUGAGCGUUCGCCUGGCUGCUGCCAUCUCCAAUGAGAAUAUGAAUCAAUAAAUGUUUGUGCUACCAGCUUUGUCACUCCAUUGAUCUGCUGGUCUGUUGUACCUAGAUGCUAAUCAGUUGGUAUAGUAGUAAUUUAAAUAACUGGAUUAAAAAAAUAUGCUUUCACUAAAUGCUUUUUUCACCUUACUAUUUGUCUAUCAGCAUGAGAUCAUUAUCUCCUGGCAAGGUUCUGUUCCAUUGACAUUAUCUCUUAAUUAUCUUCAAAUGAAAGAGAAGAGGAAAAACUAGUAUUUUACUAUUCAGGAAUAAUUUCUAAAACUAUUAUUUAUAUUUAAAGGAUUGUGUCAAUAAAGCAGAGGCAGGAUGUUCGUCAGAUGUAAUUGCUGUGGUAACGAAAAUGUAUUAUGUCUCUUGAUCUGUUAAAUCGAUCCUCACAAAAAUGGCAUGAGUGUUCCAAUGUCCUAUGUCUGAUCCUGCUCUUUUGGUUCAUAGUUGUAGGAAGCUGAUGAAGUUGGGUGGAUGGUCACUAAAGCGCUUUUACUGGAGCCUCGGAGAUCAAAUAUGAUGAUGGGGGAGGAUUGCGUGGAAAGGGUGUUUCACCACCAAUAGGAGCCAGGAUCACUGGAUAAUGUGUGGAAAUGAAAACCAGCAAUGGCCUUCAUCUUCUCCUGGACCAAAAAGGAAAUGUCCUGAACACGACAAAAUGCCCAGUAGGAUGCAUAUGGAAAAGCACCUGAAGUACAGUAGGGACAAGACUGCCCAGUGUCCCUGCGGUGGCAACAGCCGUUCAGCGUCCGUUCCUGUCAAACCAGGUUUGCAUCCCCUCAUCGCCCUGAAAUCCCCUCUGCUGCCUUCGUCCAGUCUUGCAGCACCAACCGCCCCUUCUGCAGCAAAGAAGACAAGCAGUGAACUGUGGGUGAAGCACAGAAGAUAAAGGUGUCAACUCAAAGCCAGGCUGUUCUUCUCCAGAUCCACGUGGCACUGCUGCAGUUUUCUGAUGCUGCAGCUGGCAGGACGAAUGUGUUCUGCUCAUGGCUGUUGGCAUGUAACUGCAGAGCUGAGACCUUGACCCAGGGAUUUUCCUGUGCUGAGUGGAAGACAUGGACAGGGCAGGCCAAGGGUUCUUGGUCACUGUCCAGAAGCCUUAAAAGGUAAAGCACUUGUAAAAUCUCUUGAUUUUUUUCAUUUCAGGUCCCUGGUUACACUAUGGAGAAGCCAAUGCAAAGUCAUAGAAUCAUAGAAUCAUUUUGGUUGGAAAAGACCCUCAAGAUCAUAGAGUCCAACCAUAACCCACCCCUGGCACUGCCCCAUGUCCUGAGAACCUCAUGUCCGUCUGUCCAGCCCUCCAGGGAUGGUGACUCCAGCACUGCCCUGGGCAGCCUGUUCCAAUGCCCCACAGCCCUUUGGGGAAGAAAUUGUUCCCCACAUCCAACCUCAACCUCCCCUGGCGCAACUUGAGGCCAUUUCCUCUGCUCCUGGCGCUUGUUCCUGGGGAGCAGAGCCCGACCCCCCUGGCUCCAAGCUCCUUUCAGGCAGUUCAGAGAUCAGAAGGUCUCCCCUCAGCUCCUGUUCUCCAGCUGAACCCCCAGGUCCCUCAGCCGCUCCAUCACACUUGUGCUCCAGCCCCUCACCAGCUCCGUUCCCUUCUCUCCACUCGCUCCAGUACCUCAAGACCUUUCCUGUCAAAACUGACCCCAUCCCUGCACUAGUGAUUUUUACAGCAUCGUCAUUGCUACGGUGAAGUUGUUUCCAGCCCCUCAGAAGAGCGGCAGCCCCAGGGCUACCAGACCGCAGCACGGCCAUGGGGCUCAGGGCUGGCGGUGCUGCUGCCCUUCUGCUGCAGAGCAUGGUAGGUGCCUGAAUCUCUAAAUUGUGUCACCUCUUUUCCAAAGGGCUACCAGCCUAUUCCUGUAACUUUCCAGCUGUUUUUCCCCUUCCAUUUUUCUGGGAGGGAAGACACCAGUGGAGAUGGAACUGUCAAUAAGUUUGGCAAGAGCGGCUGACUGUCUAUUAAGAAAGCAAAAUAAUAGUUUUAGUCAGUGACUGACCGAGCUGAAGCAAGAAGGAAAUCAAAUGUUAGCACAAACCGAUCUGACAGUAGAUCUUUGCUGCUCUGAACAGAAAAAGGAGUAAACAAAAUUGGUGCUAAAAUGAAUGUGCUUGGUGCUUUCCACAUAUGGAGGAAUAUAGUGUCCUUGUUUUCAAGGUAGAAAAACAGAGGGAAGAAGUUCAAUGUGAGAGAAGUGUGAAGUGGCUCCUCUCCAUGGUAACGUAUUGCAUUAAUAUAAUCUUUUUGGUGGUAAGGUUUAUAGGAUGCUCUUGAACCCCAAAGGAAAGAAGCAUCUUGACUAUACUCUGGGUGUGUGCUGGGAUAAACCACCAGGCACACCAUGGGUGAGACACCCUUCGGAUUGCUUUUCCAUUGUGGGGUGUCACUUGGCAUCACCAUGGACUUGUGCCAACAUAUCAGAACUUCCCAUGGUCAUCAGAAUUGCUUUUAUUUGUUUUAAGUGACUCAUAAAACCAAGAUUAGCAGCUCAUUGAAAAGGCCAUAGUUUUAAUGGGAUCUUACAGUGUGAAAGUCCAUAUUUCAGUAUUCUGGGUGUAGAGGAGGCUGACCUGUCUCACAGGAUAGUAACAUAAAACCAAGAGCACUGGAAAAAGCCAAGAAAGGAAAAAUUUACCUUGUUUCAGACUUCUACGUGUGUUUAUGUCAGGAUUCUCCUCUAGAUUUUCAGUCACUUCAGGACCAAACUCCAGAAAACAGAAGGAUUUGAGUAUCUUUUUUGAAUGUCAAAGAGUCAGACGAAACAAUUGCUUGCAGCUAAAUCAUUGAGCUGGGGUGCAGACAGCUCCUUUGCACCAGUGCUGAAGAAAAGCUGCUCUGGGUAAUAGUUAGAAUGUGAAAAAUCAUUGAGAUCUGGGCUUUAACCUACACCCCUUACUCGCUGAAUUGUUUCUUCAUGCUGUCAACCAUCAGUGUCAUUUAUUGAGUGAUAAAAAUAAUUGUUUAUUAUGUUGUCUCAUUUACUCUGAGUUAUAAAAAUGUGGUGGUUUUUUUCUUUUAAUACAGAAUUUCUAGGUGAAACUUUGCAUCAGGACCAAUCAUUUUCCAUCAAGUAAGAUGAUAACCAGGUGUAAAGACACUGGAUACCAUGUGUCGUAUUGAGCAGGUAUUAUCCUGUGAAACUUAGUGAAAGCACUAAGUAAAUACAUUUUCUGAAGCCUGAUCCUGUAUUAUUUCCACUUCCUUCAAGGAUUAUCCAUCCUUUGUUAAGACUAGCCCAUAACUUGCAAAGCACAAUAAUGGGGUAAAUAGAGUUAAGUUCACCCUCUGUGGCGUUUUGCCAUUUUUCUACCUUCCUUAUAAAGAAAAAGAACAUAUUUUUGAGUGGGUAUGCAUUGACUAAUGAAAGGCUUCAGAAUAUGUGACUCAGAGCAAUACAAUAGUACUCCCUCCUAUUUCUAGACAAUAAAGACCGAUUUAAAAAGAAAGACAUACUACUUGGAAAACAAACCCUGAGAUCGAUCAGUUGCUUCUGCUUGUUGCCAUGUAAACGUCUUGCUUAAUUUUCAGCCUGCAGAAGCUUAGAGGAUGAACUGACCUUGUACAAACUUUGCCAACCUCAGCAAUCUCCUGCCAGAUGUGCGCUUCAUUAUUUAAGUGAUACCGCACUGUCAGACUCCUUCUGAAAUGGAGUGGACAUGCCAACGCAGCGUCUGGUCCUCCCGGCCUUGCCUCCUAGUGUGGCACAGCACGCUGGGGGGAUCCACGAAGCAGCAGAAGCCGGCAGAGGCACCUCGGAGCACAGCUCGAGGAAGACAAGCACAGAUAGCUCAGCCACAUCAGUACAAGCCACGGAAUGAGCAGAUUUCAGAAGAACACUUCAAACACCAUCCUGUGACUCUUGCGGAAAGAGGAGGCAUGUGUAACAACAGUUAUUUUCUACCUAACACAACGAUUGUUGGCGAGUUUUCCUUUCUAAAGAAACACGUGUGCUUGGAGACACCAGGGUGGCAGCCCCUAUCUGACCCCAAUAUCUCCUUUCUUAGGAGGCAGCUUAAGAAUUUCACACCUAACUUAGCGCCAGAUUUAAUUUACUAUUUUUUAAAUAAAGAUUAUUUGCACAGCGUGGUCGCGUUUGGUUUAAGCGGGGCCUGAAAGAUUUUGAGCAGUCAGAAGUGUGCAGCAGAGCGUGCCAAAUUAAGCUGGUUUUCUAAGCACAGGCAGUUUCUUUGAUUUUCAUUAAUUUAUUGCAUGUGUAAUUAUUUAAAGAAUUACGCAUGGAGCUAAAAGACAAUUCUCUGAAUUGUCCAUUUAAUCUUCACAAGGAUGUGCAGUACUGUGACAGUUAACUGAACGAGAGCUCUUCUAAUGAUGUGAGGGAUAUUUUAUACAUUCCCGCGUUACUUUUGUGGGAGAGGAGUUUACUCCAUUAACUGAUGAUAUUUAACGCUUUUGACAUUUCCUUGUCCACUCGGUAACCCAUUCAGCCUUCAUGCCAAGCAGCUUCUGUUGUAGCCUCUGCUCCUGUACAUCUUUGCAUACCUGAGGUGGGUCUUCAUGUUCUAGAUAAAAGGUGUGCAUUGUGUGAGGUGCUGUACUGCUGCUGGAUAAAAUGUUCUUGCUCCAUGGAUCUGCAACCUAAACAGGCAAAGCAGGAAAGGGUGGAGGAAGUGGAUGGUGACUGAGACAAGGGUUCAACAAGACUUCGGAACUGAGAGCUGGGAAAUGAAUCAAAAUUAAUAACUGAGUCCAGCCUUCCACCCCAUAGCAGCACUGUCUGCACCCAUGGUGCAAGCCCUUCUUGUUUUUGGAGAAACAUCUCAAUCCUUUCAUCAAAAGCUACCACUUUUUUUCCUUUAAGCAAUAAUCUCGAAAUAGAAAUAUCAACUGGUGGGUCUAAGACAUUCUGGUGCAUGUUCCUGAAUCAGGCCUAUUUUCAAAGCUAUGGGCAAACUAACCUUUAGCUAGAAAAUAGAGCUGGUGUAACAAGUUACUACAAUUGAGAUUCUAAGCAGAGAGAGAGGUUUUGCAGUCAGUUCUUUUCCCAUGUGUCUGAGUCCCAAGCACCCCAUGCCAGGGGCUGUAGCUGGUUUCAGAGUAAGUGAAUAGUGUGUGAGCACUAAAAGAGAUGCAGAUGGUUUGGGUUUCCCUUGGCCAAGGAGAAGAGCAGUCGGGACCCUGGAGACAGUGACCUCACCUUACUGGUCCCUUCUGGUUUCUUUUUCAGGCAAGAAACUCUACACAGGCAGACAGUAACAGAGUAAAAGAGAAAUUAUGAACUCUGUUCAGCUUAGUGUCCACUGCUCUUAUUGAAGAAAUACAUGGCAUCGCUUGUACUGCUAAAGAGCAGUCUGGAUAUAUAUGGAAAGCAGGGAGGCACUGGGGUCAGCACGAGUGACUGAUAAAAGGCUGAGAGUUUUCUGGAAGUUUCCCAGGUCAGCUGGGUCAGUCUUUGAACUUGACCGUACUUUUCUUCCCCCUUGUAAAACGAGGAGUCCUUCCUUACCACACUGUAAAGGCAAAAUGCAUUACUUGUGUAUAGGUGAGUCUAAAAUGUCUCUUGAACCCACUCGCUCUUGAGUGAGAUUUGCCUGUGAUUUGUCCCGGCUUAAAAAACGUGUAGCCAUGGUCGGCUUGCCUAGCUUAAUACCCUGCCUAGCUCGAUGCCGUAAAAUUGGCUCAUUGAAGAAACUUCUAAAACCAGGGUUUAAGGUUUUACAAGCAACCAUCCCUUAUUGGUGUACCGGCACACCCACGGGGAUCGCUCUGCCUAGUGGGGCCCCUGGACAAUUCCCAGACACAGGUUAUAUCCGAACAGAUCAUGCGUAUUCAUUACAUUUCCAAUAAAUCUUUUGCCUAUACAUUACAUUCCUUUGUUAUUCGGCUGUAACCUGCUUGUGCUGGUGUCGCCACCUUAUCUUCUGAGAGAAGGGCAUUGUCUCCGAACCUUCUGCUUAUCUUAACAAAUACCGUUCUUGUGACUUAACACCAAAUCAGUGCCUAAAACACACCUGUGAACCUUAUUAACUUAGUAAGUGCCUAAAAUCUAUGACCCUUAUUCGUAUUAACUUAUUUUAUUACUAAUUGCUGGGUUUAGGUGUCAGCUUAAUAUCCUGCUCUCUCAGCUGGUUUCUUAGGACCGGUUUAGGGUUACAUUAACACAGUGAAGGUCUGUGAGAGUCGGUCUGAAGAUGGAGCAGUAUUUCCCUGAGCAUCACCAUCAAUAACGGAGAGAACCGAGGCCCUGACAGAAAGAACGCGUGGACACUGACUUGGAGAGAGGCCGGAGGGGCAGCAUUGUGCUGCACUGGUUUCUGCGAUCGGGGCGGCUGCUGCUCACAAUGGCUGCUGUGUGGACUUCGCCUGCUGCUUCAGCCAAACCAGCCCCAGCCUCCUGAAGGCUGUUGUUAUGAGGGUCUCUUUGACCCAGGGACAAUCGCUGCCGUCCAGAAGAUGUGUUCUCACCUGCAGCCUCAGUUAGACGUGUCCCCCACCUGCUCCCCCAAACAAUGGCCAAUGACAAGGAGCAUGCCCAGAAGCUCGUCAAGGGUCCUGAGGUCACCAAUGGACCAGAGAAAGACCCCUGAAUGCUGGACACAUAAACGCUGGCAAAAGAAAGCGUGAAUCUUUUGAGCCUGCGCAGUACGAGCCUGGGUUGCGAAAUCAAGGUGGAGACUGGCCUGAAACAAUGGAAGCAAGGGGGGUGAAGAAGCAUAAAAGGUGACUCCAGAAUGGACACCGUUGAAGAUCUUCCCGCCAGAGGAUCCCAAACCAUGACGGAGGACCGGCCGGACUCCACGGGACCGGAGACCAGAGGGAGCUUCUGGAACUGGACUGGUGAUAAAUGCAACCUCAUUUCUCAUCUUUACUCUUACUUUUUCCCCAUUUCUUUUUCCUUUAAUUUUUCUCACUUUUUCUUUCUAUUGCGUGCUGCUUUACGGGCAAAUUAAUAAAGUAACACUGCUUGAUUGAAUUAUAACCCCUUGGCAUUUUGGUUGCCUUAAUUUUGCACCCUCAGAUCAAAGUAAAAGAACCAUCACAAGACCAUCACUGAAUGGACCGUGACAAGGUCACGUAGGUGUAUCUGUGAGGACGUGUCUGUGGGGACUUCAGGAGACGAAGCACCAAAGUGGCUUCUGUGUGCACAUGUACAUCCAGAGGUGAGUCAGGCUGCUGGUGGGAGAAGGGAACGGGAAGCACGAGUUACUUGCCUUAAUAGCACUGUCAAGAACUUUUAGUUUUCUUUCUCGAAAAGCGUUUGAGAAGCAGAGGGGACAGCUUAAAAGAAAAGUUGCUCUAAUGGAGAGAGAAGUGGAGGCAGGUCAUACUGAAACUGCACUCGAGCGGUAUCGCCAUGGGUUAUCCCCCAUCUGACACACACUCGGAGCUCUUUAAAAAUCCAAGCACAAGAUGUUGAGCUUAAAAUUAUUUAACAAUAUUUUUAUUGUGUUAAGAUCCUUUCUUUUUCCCCAGUGUUAGUUAAGUCUGGCCCCCGGCCUCUGCUGCUGGUGCUGGAAUGCACGGGGUAACUUGGGUUCUGUUUUAGGGGAACAUGUUCGAUCCAUGAGCUGAACACUGGAAAUUUUGAAUGUAUGUUUGGAUCUAGAAGCUUUUUUUUCAGUUAAUUCUGUUGCAGACCUACCUGUUAAAAACCAGUUCUUCAAUACGUAUGGAAGCAAAACUCGCAUUUUGAGCAGGUCAGUAGAGAGUGAUUUCAGCCAUAAGUUCACUGCAGCAACAAGGACUAAAAACAUCCUCACGCUUAUUUAAUAUUUUGGAGGAAAAGCCACCUGCACACAAAAGGAAUUUAAAAUGCAUGGUUUUGGUUGUGUUUUGUUGUUGUAGGUUUUUUUGUUGGUUUAGGGUUUGAUUUUGUUUUUUAAACACAAAAAUCAUUCCUGUCUGAAACAGAGCCAAGGUUUUAUCUCUAGAAAUGCCAUUUAUUCAGCAUUACAAGUACCCAGUUUCCAGGGCUGAUCAACCUGGAGCUGCAUCAACAGAGGGUAAUACUUGACUCCAGCGGAAUUCAUCCAUUAAGCAAUGUUUCAUUUAACACCUCAGCAAACUGGUAUUUAAUAGCUCCUAGACCAUGCAUGAGCUAUUCCCCAGAGCAUUAAAUUUCACCCUACAUGCAUUGCAAUCAUUAGUAUCCUUCAAAUAACAAGGCCAUUGGGCAUGAAAACUGUUAGUUGUGUAUGUAGAUGGCUUCUGCACUCUGGAUCUGAGAGUUGUCUGGGCUGUUUCUGUUUUAAAAUAAAAUGUA